GUAGCGCCUCGUGAACUCAUCUUCGGGGGUAGAGCACUGUUUCGGCUAGGGGGCCAUCCCGGCUUACCAACCCGAUGCAAACUACGAAUACCGAAGAAUGUUAUCACGGGAGACACACGGCGGGUGCUAACGUCCGUCGUGAAGAGGGAAACAACCCAGACCGCCAGCUAAGGUCCCAAAGUCAUGGUUAAGUGGGAAACGAUGUGGGAAGGCACAGACAGCCAGGAUGUUGGCUUAGAAGCAGCCAUCAUUUAAAGAAAGCGUAAUAGCUCACUGGUCGAGUCGGCCUGCGCGGAAGAUGUAACGGGGCUAAACCAUGCACCGAAGCUGCGGCAGCGACGCUUAUGCGUUGUUGGGUAGGGGAGCGUUCUGUAAGCCGUUGAAGGUGUGCUGUGAGGCAUGCUGGAGGUAUCAGAAGUGCGAAUGCUGACAUAAGUAACGAUAAAGCGGGUGAAAAGCCCGCUCGCCGGAAGACCAAGGGUUCCUGUCCAACGUUAAUCGGGGCAGGGUGAGUCGACCCCUAAGGCGAGGCCGAAAGGCGUAGUCGAUGGGAAACAGGUUAAUAUUCCUGUACUUGGUGUUACUGCGAAGGGGGGACGGAGAAGGCUAUGUCAGCCGGGCGACGGUUGUCCCGGUUUAAGCAUGUAGGCGGAGGUUCCAGGUAAAUCCGGUACCUUAUUAACGCUGAGGUGUGAUGACGAGGCACUACGGUGCUGAAGUGAUAAAUGCCCUGCUUCCAGGAAAAGCCUCUAAGCAUCAGGUAACACGAAAUCGUACCCCAAACCGACACAGGUGGUCAGGUAGAGAAUACCAAGGCGCUUGAGAGAACUCGGGUGAAGGAACUAGGCAAAAUGGUGCCGUAACUUCGGGAGAAGGCACGCUGAUGUGUAGGUGAAGUCCCUGCGGACGGAGCUGAAAUCAGUCGAAGAUACCAGCUGGCUGCAACUGUUUAUUAAAAACACAGCACUGUGCAAACACGAAAGUGGACGUAUACGGUGUGACGCCUGCCCGGUGCCGGAAGGUUAAUUGAUGGGGUUAGCUGUAAGGCGAAGCUCUUGAUCGAAGCCCCGGUAAACGGCGGCCGUAACUAUAACGGUCCUAAGGUAGCGAAAUUCCUUGUCGGGUAAGUUCCGACCUGCACGAAUGGCGUAAUGAUGGCCAGGCUGUCUCCACCCGAGACUCAGUGAAAUUGAACUCGCUGUGAAGAUGCAGUGUACCCGCGGCAAGACGGAAAGACCCCGUGAACCUUUACUAUAGCUUGACACUGAACACUGGUCCUUGAUGUGUAGGAUAGGUGGGAGGCUUUGAAGCGUGGACGCCAGUCUGCGUGGAGCCGCCCUUGAAAUACCACCCUUUAAUGGCUGGUGUUCUAACGUAGACCCGUGAUCCGGGUUGCGGACAGUGUCUGGUGGGUAGUUUGACUGGGGCGGUCUCCUCCCAAAGAGUAACGGAGGAGCACGAAGGUUGGCUAAUCCUGGUCGGACAUCAGGAGGUUAGUGCAAUGGCAUAAGCCAGCUUGACUGCGAGCGUGACGGCGCGAGCAGGUGCGAAAGCAGGUCAUAGUGAUCCGGUGGUUCUGAAUGGAAGGGCCAUCGCUCAACGGAUAAAAGGUACUCCGGGGAUAACAGGCUGAUACCGCCCAAGAGUUCAUAUCGACGGCGGUGUUUGGCACCUCGAUGUCGGCUCAUCACAUCCUGGGGCUGAAGUAGGUCCCAAGGGUAUGGCUGUUCGCCAUUUAAAGUGGUACGCGAGCUGGGUUUAGAACGUCGUGAGACAGUUCGGUCCCUAUCUGCCGUGGGCGCUGGAGAAUUGAGGGGGGCUGCUCCUAGUACGAGAGGACCGGAGUGGACGCAUCACUGGUGUUCGGGUUGUCAUGCCAAUGGCACUGCCCGGUAGCUAAAUGCGGAAGAGAUAAGUGCUGAAAGCAUCUAAGCACGAAACUUGCCCCGAGAUGAGUUCUCCCUGAGACUUUAAGUCUCCUGAAGGAACGUUGAAGACGACGACGUUGAUAGGUCGGGUGUGUAAGCGCAGCGAUGCGUUGAGCUAACCGAUACUAAUGAACCGUGAGGCUUAACCUU
rnacentral:rRNA from 1 species